rnacentral:rRNA from 1 species
CCUACGGGUGGCAGCAGUGAGGAAUAUUGGUCAAUGGACGAGAGUCUGAACCAGCCAAGUAGCGUGAAGGAUGACUGCCCUAUGGGUUGUAAACUUCUUUUAUAUGGGAAUAAAACGUUCCACGUGUGGGAUUUUGUAUGUACCAUAUGAAUAAGGAUCGGCUAACUCCGGGCCAGCAGCCGCGGUAAGACGGAGGAUCCGAGCGUUAUCCGGAUUUAUUGGGUUUAAAGGGAGCGUAGGUGGAUUGUUAAGGCAGUUGUGAAAGUUUGCGGCUCAACCGUAAAAUUGCAGUUGAAACUGGCAGUCUUGAGUACAGUAGAGGUGGGCGGAAUUCGUGGUGUAGCGGUGAAAUGCUUAGAUAUCACGAAGAACUCCGAUUGCGAAGGCAGUUCACUGGACUGCAACUGACACUGAGGCUCGAAAGUGUGGGUAUCAAACAGGAUUAGAUACCCUGGUAGUC